rnacentral:rRNA from 1 species
CCUACGGGAGGCAGCAGUGGGGAAUAUUGGACAAUGGGCGCAAGCCUGAUCCAGCCAUGCCGCGUGAGUGAUGAAGGCCCUAGGGUUGUAAAGCUCUUUUGUGCGGGAAGAUAAUGACGGUACCGCAAGAAUAAGCCCCGGCUAACUUCGUGCCAGCAGCCGCGGUAAUACGAAGGGGGCUAGCGUUGCUCGGAAUCACUGGGCGUAAAGGGUGCGUAGGCGGGUCUUUAAGUCAGGGGUGAAAUCCUGGAGCUCAACUCCAGAACUGCCUUUGAUACUGAAGAUCUUGAGUUCGGGAGAGGUGAGUGGAACUGCGAGUGUAGAGGUGAAAUUCGUAGAUAUUCGCAAGAACACCAGUGGCGAAGGCGGCUUACUGGUCCGGUUCUGACGCUGAGGCGCGAAAGCGUGGGGAGCAAACAGGAUUAGAUACCCUGGUAGUCCACGCCGUAAACGUUGGGCGCUAGGUGUGGGGCUCAUUCCACGAGUUCCGUGCCGCAGCUAACGCAUUAAGCGCCCCGCCUGGGGAGUACGGCCGCAAGGCUAAAACUCAAUGGAAUUGACGGGGGCCCGCACAAGCGGCGGAGCAUGUUGCUUAAUUCGAUGCAACGCGAAGAACCUUACCUAGGCUUGACAUGCACGGAAAUCUCCCAGAGAUGGGGGGUCCGUAAGGGCCGUGCACAGGUGGUGCAUGGUUGUCGUCAGCUCGUGUCGUGAGAUGUUGGGUUAAGUCCCGCAACGAGCGCAACCCUCGUCCUAUGUUGCCAGCACGUAAUGGUGGGGACUCAUAGGAGACUGCCGGGGUCAACUCGGAGGAAGGGGGGGAUGACGUCAAAUCAUCAUGCCCCUUAUGUCCAGGGCUGCAAACAUGCUACAAUGGGCGGGUACAAAGGGCUGCGAAACCGCGAGGGUGAGCGAAUCCCAAAAGCCGUCUUCAGUUCGGAUUGGGGUC